AUUGAACGCUGGCGGCAGGCUUAACACAUGCAAGUCGAGCGGAGCGAGGGUGCUUGCACCUUAGCUUAGCGGCGGACGGGUGAGUAAUGCUUAGGAAUCUGCCUAUUAGUGGGGGACAACAUUCCGAAAGGAAUGCUAAUACCGCAUACGCCCUACGGGGGAAAGCAGGGGAUCUUCGGACCUUGCGCUAAUAGAUGAGCCUAAGUCGGAUUAACUAGUUGGUGGGGUAAAGGCCUACCAAGGCGACGAUCUGUAGCGGGUCUGAGAGGAUGAUCCGCCACACUGUGACUGAGACACGGCCCAGACUCCUACGGGAGGCAGCAGUGGGGAAUAUUGGACAAUGGGCGGAAGCCUGAUCCAGCCAUGCCGCGUGUGUGAAGAAGGCCUUUUGGUUGUAAAGCACUUUAAGCGAGGAGGAGGCUACUGGUACUAAUACUACUGGAUAGUGGACGUUACUCGCAGAAUAAGCACCGGCUAACUCUGUGCCAGCAGCCGCCGUAAUAC
rnacentral:rRNA from 1 species